rnacentral:rRNA from 1 species
UACGGGGGGGGCAAGCGUUGUUCGGAAUUACUGGGCGUAAAGGGCGCGUAGGCGGUCGGAUAAGUCAGCUGUGAAAACCACGAGCUUAACUCGUGGCCUGCAGUUGAGACUGUCUGGCUUGAGUGUGGGAGAGGAGAGUGGAAUUCCUGGUGUAGCGGUGAAAUGCGUAGAUAUCAGGAGGAACACCAGUGGCGAAGGCGACUUUCUGGCCUGUUCUUGACGCUGAGGCGCGAAAGCUAGGGGAGCAAACAGG